rnacentral:piRNA from 1 species
AAGGCCUGUGGAUUGGAAGUUUGAU